AAGCUCUGGCCUUUUGCUCAUUUGAUCACCUAUGGAGUGAUUCCAGUCGAGCAACGCCUCUUAUGGGUGGAUUGCGUGGAGCUGAUUUGGGUUACUAUACUCUCAACGUACUCGAAUGAGAAAUCUGAAGAGCGGAUAUCCGAGGCAUCUGAACCCAAUCCCAGUGGCAAGUCUCUCGAGGAGUAAAUAAAGCAAACAUGCUUCUUCAGAAGAUGUCUCCUUCACUUCAGACCAGUUAGCUGCGUUUUGAGAAAGCUAAAGAUCCGACAGGCUACGUACAAAAUACAUCUACAUC